rnacentral:rRNA from 1 species
AUUGAACGCUGGCGGCAGGCCUAACACAUGCAAGUCGAACGAGUGGCGGACGGGUGAGUAAUGUCUGGGAAACUGCACGAUGGAGGGAGAUAACUACUGGAAACGGUAGCUAAUACCGCAUACGAUCGGUUAUGCCCCGCUGGGAUUAGCUAGUAGGUGGGGUAACGGCUCACCUAGGCGACGAUCCCUAGCUGGUCUGAGAGGAUGAUCAGUCACACUGGAACUGAGACACGGUCCAGACUCCUACGGGAGGCAGCAGUGGGGAAUAUUGGACAAUGGGCGAAAGUCUGAUCCAGCCAUGCCGCGUGUGUGAAGAAGGUCUUCGGAUUGUAAAGCACUUUAAGUUGGGAGGCGUUACCAACAGAAUAAGCACCGGCUAACUUCGUGCCAGCAGCCGCGGUAAUAC